GCCAACUAAUAACCGUUUCAACGGAAGUGAAAGCUUGAGGGAUCAGCAGCAAAAUAUAAAUAUUCAAUCUACGGAAAAGAAAGUUCCGACGGAACACGACGAUGAUCAGGAUCCCCAGCCAGGGUAUACAACCAGAGGGUACCCAGUAGAGCAACCGGUACCACAGAGCGACUAAGAUGAYUUCAAUUCCCGCUCCCACCAAGCCUUUCUAAUUGUUUGAAUUGGUUAAAUAUCAAACRCUAUUACAAGCUCAUUAUUUUAACAUGUACAAAGUCAAUAUUUAUAUUAUUUUAAGUACUGCUGUAUUCCUUGAUUCAGGGUUAGCCUUAUUUUAGCGUCCGAAUAUUCACAAAUACCAAUGUUUAGUGAAGAAUUUUCAACUAGGCAAUACAUACACUUUGAAAUUCCGCCACCCUUUACUGGUACACAUGAAUAUUCUACACGAAAUCACGGCUAGCACUGAAAACAGAGAGUUUGCAGAAGAUAUAUAGUCUAUAAAACAGUUGUAUUUAUUUUUUAAGAGAAAUGUUUAGAAGAGGUCAAACGACAAGUUAUAAAUAAAUUUGCUAUUUCUUUAAAAGAAGUAUCGAUGGUUAACAUAUUUAGUAAAGAAUAAUAAAAAUAUUCAAGUAAUACUGUAAAAGUAAAUCAAAACGUUUGAAUAUUUCAAUAAAAUCAAUCAAUUUA